rnacentral:tRNA from 1 species
AAGGGUAUAGUUCAGUGGUAGAGUGUGUGCUUUGCAUGAAUAAGGUCCUGGGUUCAAUCCCCAGUACCUCCA